rnacentral:rRNA from 1 species
CCUACGGGGGGCAGCAGUGGGGAAUAUUGGACAAUGGGGGGAACCCUGAUCCAGCCAUGCCACGUGUGUGAAGAAGGCCCUCGGGUUGUAAAGCACUUUCAGUGAGGAAGAACGCCUGGUGGUUAAUACCCAUCAGGAAAGACAUCACUCACAGAAGAAGCACCGGCUAACUCCGUGCCAGCAGCCGCGGUAAUACGGAGGGUGCGAGCGUUAAUCGGAAUUACUGGGCGUAAAGCGCGCGUAGGUGGCUUGAUAAGCCGGUUGUGAAAGCCCCGGGCUCAACCUGGGAACGGCAUCCGGAACUGUCAAGCUAGAGUGCAGGAGAGGAAGGUAGAAUUCCCGGUGUAGCGGUGAAAUGCGUAGAGAUCGGGAGGAAUACCAGUGGCGAAGGCGGCCUUCUGGACUGACACUGACACUGAGGUGCGAAAGCGUGGGUAGCAAACAGGAUUAGAUACCCGAGUAGUC